rnacentral:rRNA from 1 species
AGAGUUUGAUCCUGGCUCAGAACGUACGCUGGCGGCACGCCUAACACAUGCAAGUCGAACGAAGUAGCAAUACUUAGUGGCAGACGGGUGAGUAACAUGUAGGUAUCUGCCCUUUGGCCUGGAAUAACACGAGGAAACUUGUGCUAAUACCGGAUAAGUCUUUACGGAGAAAGCUUUAUGCACCAUUGGAUGAGCCUGCACUUGAUUAGUUUGUUGGUGGGGUAAUGGCCUACCAAGACUGUGAUCAAUAGCUGAUUUGAGAGGAUGAUCAGCCACAUUGGGACUGAGACACGGCCCAAACUCCUACGGGAGGCAGCAGUGGGGAAUCUUGCACAAUGGAGGAAACUCUGAUGCAGCGAUGCCGCGUGAGUGAAGAAGGCCCUUGGGUUGUAAAGCUCUUUCGUCGGGGAAGAAAAUGACUGUACCCGAAUAAGAAGGUCCGGCUAACUUCGUGCCAGCAGCCGCGGUAAUACGAAGGGACCUAGCGUAGUUCGGAAUUACUGGGCUUAAAGAGUUCGUAGGUGGUUGAAAAAGUUAGUGGUGAAAUCCCAGAGCUUAACUCUGGAACUGCCAUUAAAACUUUUCAGCUAGAGUAUGAUAGAGGAAAGCAGAAUUUCUAGUGUAGAGGUGAAAUUCGUAGAUAUUAGAAAGAAUACCAAUUGCGAAGGCAGCUUUCUGGAUCAUUACUGACACUGAGGAACGAAAGCAUGGGUAGCGAAGAGGAUUAGAUACCCUCGUAGUCCAUGCCGUAAACGAUGUGUGUUAGACGUUGGAAAUUUAUUUUCAGUGUCGCAGGGAAACCGAUAAACACACCGCCUGGGGAGUACGACCGCAAGGUUAAAACUCAAAUGAAUUGACGGGGACCCGCACAAGUAGUGGAGCAUGUGGUUUAAUUCGAAGAUACGCGCAGAACCUUACCAACACUUGACAUGUUCGUCGCGACUCUAAGAGAUUAGAGUUUUCGGUUCGGCCGGACGAAGCACAGGUGCUGCAUGGCUGUCGUCAGCUCGUGUCGUGAGAUGUUGGGUUAAGUCCCGCAACGAGCGCAACCCUCACUUUUAGUUGCCAUCAUUAAGUUGGGCACUCUGAAAGAACUGCCAGUGAUAAGCUGGAGGAAGGUGGGGAUGACGUCAAGUCCUCAUGGCCCUUACGUGUUGGGCUACACACGUGCUACAAUGGUAUCUACAACAGGAAGCAAGACUGCGAAGUUAAGCAAAUCCCUAAAAGAUACCUCAGUUCGGAUUGCACUCUGCAACUCGAGUGCAUGAAGCUGGAAUUACUAGUAAUCGUGGAUCAGCGUGCCACGGUGAAUGCGUUCCCGGGUCUUGUACACACCGCCCGUCACACCAUGGGAGUUGGUUCUACCUUAAGGCAAGGUUUCAAACCCUUGACCACGGUAUAGUCAGCGACUGGGGUGAAGUCGUAACAAGGUAACC